rnacentral:tRNA from 1 species
GCAGUGGUAGUUCAGUGGUAGAAUUCUCGUCUUCCAGGCAAGAGACGCGUGUUUGACUCCUGGCCGAUGCA